GGGGUUGUGGCUCAGUGGCAGAGUGCUCACCUAGCAUGUGUGAGGCAGUAGGUUCAAUCCUCAGCACCA
rnacentral:tRNA from 1 species